rnacentral:lncRNA from 1 species
AUGCACCGAGCCGCGUCAUCGGGCACCAGAGCUGCGCCUGGCGCUCGUGUGCGGAGGUUCUGGCUUCAAAAAGCCGAACAUCGCACAACGGGGAAAUGUGGAAACAUCUGCUCCUCGACUAGAACACAGGAAGUGCGCGCAGAACGGCUGCUUUUAAACACGUCUUCAAACAGAAGCGGGAGGAAAAGCACCUGGGAGGUGAUGAUGAGCGGAAGAGAAAACAGGUAGACAGAGCAACUGUGGGGGUUUGCUGCCGCCUACUGGUCAAAGCGUGUAACUGACGCUGCCCAUCGCAACAGUGAAGAUAAAAGAUAAGACAUUUCUUCCCUUCGGUAUAGAUUGAGAUAUUUUCUCUGUACACUCUGAAGUCAUUGUCAAAAAGGUGCAAACUUAAAAUGCUAAUUAAUUUUGGCUUUUAAAGUAGCUUAUUAAAUGCACUGUUUCUCUGAUCACACAGUGCCAUCUACUGAUACACAAGUUAUCCUUACACCAUAUGUACAGACUGUUAGAGUGGGUGUGAUUUGGCUGAUUUAGUUUAUUGUUCUAGUCCCUGCUAUUCUGACCAAAAUUAAUAAAUAUUAUACAUUUACUAAACA